UUCAUCCAGGAGCUGUGAAAUGGCGCUGCUCGUCCUCCUGUUCUUCUUCCAUCUGAUUCUGGACAUUAACUCUCAAUAUGUUCCUCAGCCCCGGCUGUCCGUGUCUCCUGAAGUUCUCACAGAGAGAGGAUCAGUGCAGAUUCACUGUCAUGUUCCAGACAAUGUUAAAGUGUCUCUGUGUCAGUUCUACCCAGAGAGAGACAACACAAAUCUAAAACUCUCUCCAUCAUGUCAGCUCUCAGUCACUGGUUCUGAACUGAUCAGGUGGACAGGACGAAGUUCUCCUGGAACACUUCAUAUUACUUGUUACUACGCUUUGGAUAACUCUGUUCGUACUCCUUCUCCUCACUCUCUCCCAGCUCCAGUCUCAGUGCGGUAUCAGAAACCGAGACUAAGCGUCAGUCAUGAUGAUCAGUUUGAUGUAUUCAGAUUUGUGUGUGAAAUAUCAGGGUCAGAGUCAGUAACUGCUGAUUUUAGCUGUAAUCUCUACACUGGAGAAAAUCCUCAGCCUUAUGUAAAGACAGGAUCUCAGAAGGCAGUUUGUAGAUUUACAGCAAAGAAAAAUGAUCUGUUUAAUCGUCUGCAGUCAGUAAAGAGUCGUG
ensembl:lncRNA